GUAAAAAAUUUCUGUAAAUUUACAUGAAAAUUCAACAGCAAAAUGCUGUUUUCGUGUAAUAACAGUAAGUUGCUGUUUUUUACAGUGCAUUGUGGGUAGACUUGCUCACUUCAGGUCGGUUGUCGAGCAACAACAGAAUGUCACUGUUAUUUAACAGUAUUAUAGCAUAUUUUUCGUUGUGCACGCCAUUUUGGAUUGUCUGCAUGAGGUAGGUCUGCAACUUUAUCGAUGCUUGUGCUAUUUUAAAAUUACAUAUUACUUUUGAAUAUUGCGUUUUAUCCAGUGAAGCUUUAAAACAACAAAAUCAGAUUCCAUUUCCUAUUUUAAUCAGGCAAAGGGGGUAUUCUACCAUCACAUCAGUUACACUCACAUCAGAUCACAGGUAAGAAUUCACCAAAGUUAUUUCCAACAUGUUAAUUUUACUAAAAUCUGUGUAAAAGAUGAAUGAGGAAUGAUCAAAAUCAAUGAUUGGUUUUGUGUCUUUACAUUUUUUAUGUGUGCAUUCUGUCUAUGCAAGUGAAAGAUACGCUUGUGUUAUCUGCAAAUUCGCCUGUUAUUUGUAUUAUCUUAAAAUCCUUUUAAAAUCCAUUGUUAAGUAUAUCUACAAAUAACACUAAAAGAUCUGUUGUAAAUUCAUUACAUGCUGGUUAGCUGGUUGAAACAUCCUGUUGUAUGUGGCACGCUUUUAUCGGUGGUAAGACACAUUAAGUUUAUAAAAUGGACAUGUAUCCCGGCUUCAUGUAAGUUAUGGUAAGUGGGGUAUAUGAAUUCGUUAUUAUAGUCUGAUUACACAAAAAAUUAAACAAAGGCACCCUUAUACAUAAGACUUAAGCAGUCCAAAUGGUUCUUGGUGAAAACCAAAUGUAACUCAUUUCAUUCACUGUGCAUCUAGAAGCCUCUUGCAAACAUGAUUUCAAACUUGAUAGGUCAUCAUGCAUCAAGUACAAGAAAGUGCAGUCAAACUUGAAUUCAUGAUUAUGGUUAGAAACUGAUGUAUAAAAAGUGUUACAGUUUUGUCUGUUGCAAAACCAAUUGAAUCGCAUCAAAAGAUUACUACUUGACUCAUCUGAAUUACUUUUAUCCUCCAUGUAGGGUUAUUUUGGUGCUUUGGUGCUAUUUUGGUCCCUAUUCCCUGCAUUGUAUAGACAAACAAAUAUUGCAUAUAUUAUUAAGAUGUGUGCCACUCCUGCUGACUUUGAGGAGACUAGUAACUUGUGACACCUCGUUUGAUCCUGUUUGCAUCUUUGGCUAUAUUCAUGGCGAGUACUGGUUAAUCCAUAUACAAGUUUUUAUUUACACAAGUCAAUCCAGACACUGGUUGGGGUAGAGACAAUUUGGCAUCUGUGAGUACCUAGCUGGGGCUCGAACCAGGGAUCUUCUUGCUGUGCCUUUUACUAUCAGGAGAACAUCAAGCUUUAUGUGCCUCAUUCUGGAGGCCACCGUAUUUUAAACAUGUUUAAUGUGUGACAAACUGCCAGUGCUUGCAUAUUCUUCUCACUGCCUUUUCUACACUUAGCUCUCCAGAUAUUAAGGAUUAUACAUUAAUCUAUACAUUCAUUUGGUCCAGGUGAUACUUGGGACAAUGGAUUAAACAAUGGAUGAUCAGCCUGAAAGCCAAAAGAAUCUGCAAGGGUGUUCAGCCAAUGUGUCUCACUGGACUUACUGCAUUGUGUAUUACAUCUCAACUUGCAAAAGUGAAAGCAGCAUCCACACUGGAAGUCCUUCAAAGGUAACAAGUUAUUUUUCAUUUUUUGUUUCAUUAAUAUGGUAAUAUUAGUACGUUGACCUAAAAGGAAUGGUUCCACAUAAAAUAACGAUUGCAUUAACUUAACUUAACUUAAUUUUAACUUGUGACUGUCUUUAAAGGUUGAAUUUGUAAUUUUUGAGGAGGCAAUUUUGGUAAGGCUUCACAAUAAGGUCUCAUUUGUUAAACGGGAUAGUUCACCCAAAAAAAAAUUAUUUCCCAUACCCUCAUGUGGUUAUACACAUGUGAGUUUAUUUAUUUUGUUGAACACAAACUGAGAUAUUUUA